rnacentral:rRNA from 1 species
AACCUGGUUGAUCCUGCCAGUAGUCAUAUGCUUGUCUCAAAGACUAAGCCAUGCAUGUCUAAGUAUAAGUGUUAUACAGCGAAACUGCGAAUGGCUCAUUAAAACAGUUAUAGUUUAUUUGAUAAUCGAAUUUACAUGGAUAACCGUGGUAAUUCUAGAGCUAAUACAUGCUGGUAGGCCCGACUUUUGCGGAAGGGCGGUAUUUAUUAGAUAACAAGCCAAUAUUCCUCUGGUCUAUUGUGGUGACUCAUAAUAACUGAUCGAAUCGCAAGGCCUUUGGCCGCGAUAAGUCAUUCAAGUUUCUGCCCCAUCAGCUUUCGAUGGUAGUGUAUUGGACUACCAUGGCGUUUACGGGUAACGGAGGAUUAAGGUUCGAUUCCGGAGAGGGAGCCUGAGAAACGGCUACCACAUCUAAGGAAGGCAGCAGGCGCGUAAAUUACCCAAUCCUGACUCAGGGAGGUAGUGACAAGAAAUAACGGACCGAGGCCUUCGGGCUUCGGGAUUGGAAUGAGCCGAAUUUACACCCCUUAGCGAAGAUCGAUUGGAGGGCAAGUCUGGUGCCAGCAGCCGCGGUAAUUCCAGCUCCAAUAGCGUAUAU